rnacentral:rRNA from 1 species
GGGCCCGCACAAGCGGUGGAGCAUGUGGUUUAAUUCGAUGCAACGCGAAAAACCUUACCUAGAUUUGAAAUAGUCAAGAAAAGUACGAGAAAUCGUCUUCCAGCAAUGGCUUGAUUACAGGUGCUGCAUGGCUGUCGUCAGCUCGUGUCGUGAGAUGUUGGGUUAAGUCCCGCAACGAGCGCAACCCUUGCCUUUAGUUGCCAGCAUUUAGUUGGGCACUCUAGAGGGACUGCCGACGUUAAGUCGGAGGAAGGUGGGGAUGACGUCAAGUCCUCAUGGCCCUUAUAUCUAGGGCUACACACGUGCUACAAUGGCGGUCACAAAGGGCAACAGCAAAGUCGCGAGGCGAAGCUAAUCCCAUAAAAGCCGUCCAAGUUCGGAUUGCAGUCUGCAACUCGACUGCAUGAAGUUGGAAUCGCUAGUAAUCGUGGAUCAGCAUGCCACGGUGAAUACGUUCCCGGGCCUU